rnacentral:lncRNA from 1 species
CUCAAUCUAGAAGAGUCCAGAAGCCACGGGAACGAACGGGAGACCGGACGGGAUCGGGGGCUGGGCGCCCGCCCUCCCCCCUUGGGUGCCCGCCUAGGUCUCGGGGCCAAUCCGAACCAAACUCUUGGAUCGUGCUCCACCGACCUAAAGGAUCAAGGAAAACCGUGCGAUCAAUGUCGGUUUGAUCCGACGACCUAAAUUCACUUGAAAGGAUUAUAUAACCAAGGCCUCUCCACCCCU